UAUAAGUUUUAUUCUUGCUUUUGCGUUCAGUUUUUGCUUGUUCUAUAUGUGAGUUUUUGCGUGCGUUUGUCCUUGUUCUUUCUAGAUGGGGCCUUGGGUUAUGAUUGGUUCGUUUUCAUUAGUUGUUAUUGGUUGAUCAAGUAGUUUUUGUAUCUAGCAUUUCAUUCUAGUUUCGGUUAAAUUUUGUGCCAGCAGCCGCGGUUAUACUUUGGAGGCGUUUGAAUGUGUUUGGCUUGGUAGUUGUAUGGUUUAUAGUUGGUUCUCUUUUGGUUUGUUUGAUUGGGUGAAAUUUUUAUUUUCUUUGGGGAUUUAUUUGUUUUUUGGACACUAUUAAACUCUUAUUUUAGACUAGGAUUAGAUACCCUAUUAUUUUGAGUGUUAAUUUUGGUGCUUGAGUAGUAUUAGUUAUGUUCUUGAAACUUAAAGAAUUUGGCGGUAUCUUAUUCCAUUCAGAGGAAUCUGUCUCGUUAUCGAUAGUCCGCGUUGGACCUUACUUGGGUUUAUUAGUUUGUAUACCGCCGUUUAUUGAUUAUCUUUUUAGGGGUUUAAUUUUCUUGUUUCUUUAUUUUGAUUUAUUUCAGGUCAAGGUGCAGCUUUUUCUAAGUGUUAUGAUGGGUUACAUUGUUAUUUGUUUUUGGAUUAUGUAUUUCAAUAUGUGUAUGAAAUUGGAUUUGGUUGUAAUGUUUUGUAGAUUGUUUUCGUGAUAAUUGGUUCUGAGAUAUGCACACAUCGCCCGUCGCUCUCGUUUAUUUUUGUUAGUGAGAUAAGUCGUAACAAAGUGGCUGUACCGGAAGGUGUGGCUGGAAUGAU
rnacentral:ncRNA from 1 species